GAGAAGAAAUCGUAGAGGGACCAAGCAGCUGCUGCUUCCCACCUACCUGAGGCAGGAUCAGCUCGGUUCAGUGUGCGGGACAUCUAGAGGACUUCAUCAUUCACUGUGAAUCUCAAUCUGGACUCUUAAGUGGGCUCUCCUCCACAGUGGUGGACACUUUUGCAUGAUUUUGCUUGGGUAACUUGCAAAACUUCUUCUACUCCAAAGGAAAGUGUGGGAGAAAAGAGGUAUUAGACUGAAUACCAAACUGAAGGUCUACAGAGCUGUU